rnacentral:rRNA from 1 species
CAUAACCUUUAGCCAAACAAAUAUUAAAGGCAACGCCUGCCCAGUGAAUAAUUAAACGGCCGCGGUAUCCUAACCGUGCAAAGGUAGCGUAAUCAUUUGUCUACUAAUUAUAGACCUGUAUGAAAGGCAAAAUGAGGGUCUAACUGUCUCUUAUAGUGAAUCAAUUAAACUGAUCUUCUAGUAAAAAAGCUAGAAUAUCAACAUAAGACCAGAAGACCCUGUGAAGCUUAAAUAAAACUAUUAAACCAUAUAAUAACUACUUUCGGUUGGGGCGACCUUGGAAAAAAAGAGAACUUCCAAAUAAAAUGACUAUACCUCAUUAAUCUAAACAGGCCAACAAGCCAAAAAUGACCCAGCACAGCUGAUAAUUGAACCAAGUUACUCCAGGGAUAACAGCGCAAUCUUCUUCAAGAGCCCAUAUCAAAAAGAAGGUUUACGACCUCGAUGUUGGAUCAGGACAUCCUAAUGGUGCAGCCGCUAUUAAGGGUUCGUUUGUUCAACGAUUAAUAGUCCUACGUGAUC